rnacentral:rRNA from 1 species
GAUGAACGCUGGCGGCGUGCCUAAUACAUGCGAGUCGAGCGAACGGACGAGAAGCUUGCUUCUCUGAUGUUAGCGGCGGACGGGUGAGUAACACGUGGAUAACCUACCUAUAAGACUGGGAUAACUUCGGGAAACCGUAGCUAAUACCGGAUAAUAUUUUGAACCGCAUGGUUCAAAAGUGAAAGACGGUCUUGCUGUCACUUAUAGAUGGAUCCGCGCUGCAUUAGCUAGUUGGUAAGGUAACGGCUUACCAAGGCAACGAUGCAUAGCCGACCUGAGAGCGUGAUCGGCCCCCCUGGCACUGAGCCACGGUCCAGACUCCUACGUGAGGCAGCAGUAUGGAAUCUUCCGCCACGGGCGAAAGCCUGACGGAGCAACGCCGCUUGAGUGAUGAAGGUCUUCGGAUCGUAAAACUCUGUUAUUAGGGAAGAACAUAUGUUUAAGUAACUGUGCACAUCUUGACGGUACCUAAUCAGAAAGCCACGGCUAACUACGUG